rnacentral:rRNA from 1 species
UCGGACGCCCCGCAAGGGGAGUGGCGCAAGGGUGAGUAAGGCGAUGGUAACCAACCUCGCGGACGGGCAUAGCCGGGGGAAACCCCGGGUAAUUCCCGGCGACGCGGCGAACCGGCAUCGGUUUGCCGCCAAAGGCCUCGGCCGCCGCGAGACGGGCCGUCGUGGUAUUAGGUCGUUGGUGGGGUGACGGCCCACCAAGCCUGCGAUGCCUACCGGGUGUGAGAGCAUGGCCCGGCACACUGGGACUGAGACACUGCCCAGACUCCUACGGGAGGCUGCAGUCGAGAAUCUUCGGCAAUGGGCGCAAGCCUGACCGAGCGACGCCGCGUGGAGGACGAAGGCCUUCGGGUUGUAAACUCCUGUCGAGGGGGAGGAAGGCGCGGCAACGUGCUUGACCGAUCCCUGGAGGAAGCACGGGCUAAGUUCGUGCCAGCAGCCGCGGUAAGACGAACCGUGCGAACGUUAUUCGGAAUUACUGGGCUUAAAGCGCGUGUAGGCGGGCCGGCACGUCCGUCGCUGAAAGCCCCCGGCUCAACCGGGGAAGUGGCGUGGAUACGACCGGCCUCGAGGGGGGUAGGGGGACCUGGAACUUCCGGUGGAGCGGUGAAAUGCGUUGAGAUCGGAAGGAACGCCCGUGGCGAAAGCUAGGUCCUGGACCCUUUCUGACGCUGAGACGCGAAAGCCA